UUCAAGGCCGUAACUAGGCAUCUUAUUUUAGUGAGGCAAAAUAAUUGAGCCGAGCGAAGCGAGGCGAUAAUUUUUUUUUGGAGGGUAUGAAAUGAAUGGUGCAAAAUCCUGCAUUCUAGGCAUUUUUAGAGAGUUUGAUAAUGUUUUGAAUUUGGACACUUUUUAUAUAAAUUUUUCAUAUUUUAAGACUUUUACUAACACCAAAUUUUUAACGACUUUAUUUAAAUUUGUAUGUAAGAUAAUCAUCCAAAUGUCACUGAUUUGAGUCUGCUGCCAGAACAUAGAACAAACAUCGAUUCAGUAGAGUUUGGCAAAUUUUUCUAUGGCCGGUUCUGUCAAAUCGUUUCAGAAUCAUUAUUUGGUCUGCUGAUAUCCUUAUCGCGAUUAACAUGGAGCAUGGCAAGACCGCACAAUCUCUCGCCACUCAUGCAUGCUCUUUUCCAAGUUUUCAGUCGUUUCAGGACAGUCUGUGUUUCUAAAGGUAGCACAUUAUCAUCAACAUAAUGAUCAAUGUCUUCUUCCAGUUCCUUCUCCAUCAGCAAUUCGGUAGCAGCAUCGGUAGUAACAAGUUUGUUUUGCAAAAGGGAAUUAAGCUUUCCUGCAUGUAAGCACCAUCAUACAGUCGCAGUUACAAAAUAUUAAACUCGCUUUUAUGCUGACAAAAAGUAGACAAACUAGG
rnacentral:lncRNA from 1 species